CGGGAGACCGGCUGGCUCGGUAAACCCCACCCGGAGCAAGACCGAAUAGGAGGACGAUACGGCUGGCUCGGCCGGUCCUCGGGUAAGGUCGCUAGAGUCGCCGGGCAACCGGCGACCGAGACGGAUGACUGCCGCCCCACGGCGCGCCGGCUAUGCCGGCUGAAGCGGGGAACAGAACUCGGCUUACCGGCGGACUCACUCU
rnacentral:RNase_P_RNA from 1 species